rnacentral:rRNA from 1 species
GAGCAAUCCAGGUCGGUUUCCAUCUAUGAUGAACUCUUCCCAGUACGAAAGGAUAGGAAAAGUGAGGCCAAUACUACAAGCAAGCCUUCGCCUUAAGUAAUGAAAACAACUAAAUUACGAAAAGCUAUCACACCCCACCACGUCCAAGAAAAGGACUACA